AAUUAUCAUGAUUUUUUUGUUACUCUGCUAUAUAGUUGGUUGAUGAUAUGGUCCUGCUUGGAAUACGAGCUGGAGGAGGCCAUAAUGUUUUACAAACCUUGGACCAUGCUGACAAGUCUCGAGGUUCUAUACCAACAUGCCCUGUGGAGGAGAUGUUUCUUUGUAGGCUUCUAGAAACAGAUUUUAUUGACAGUAGUGACGAUGAUGGGAUUGCUAAUUAUGUUGAACUAGUUUUAUCGGCACGCCAUUCCUCCACUAGGGACUUGAUAAAAUCUCUGCAGGAUACCAUCUCCGCCGAGAGGAUGAAAACUGAGAGAAUGACUUUUUCUUCGCAUGGAAAAUUAUCUGUUGAAGAUACUAUGAUGCAGCUUUCUAAGAUUGAUGAUAUGAUGAAAGAAGAGGCUAAAACUUUGCAUGAGAUGAUCAGUGUUCUACAUUUGAAGCAUAAAGAAUAUGCGGAUGAGAUUCAAACAUAUAUAAGCAACCAUUCAACUGACCAAUCUGAAAUUAAACGUCUUCAAGGUGAGCAGGAAGAAAUAAUGGUCGAACUUGAAGAAAGAAUAAGAAAACUAGUUGACCUAAAAAUGCAGAAGAAUAUAGCAUCUGGGAUGCAUGCAUCAACUCCAGUUGUAGCAAAUGGCAGCUUGUCUCUAGGAAAGCCUGCCGAUAAGACAAUGGGCUUGCGAGAGAUAAAGGAUUUGAUUGAGGAGACAAAGGUAUUGGUUUACGUAACUUCUUUUUUACUUCUCUAUCUUUGUGUGACUAAUCUUGUAGAAUAUGUUACUAAACAAGUGUUGCAGAUAGUAGCAGUAGAUCUACUUUCUGAACUUCAAGAUGCACAGGAACAAAACCUAAUAUAUUCAAAGCAACUCAAGGAUCUAUAGAAUGAACUGAAGGAUGACAAAUUCAUAAAAUCCUCUCGGCUCUACACUUUGUUAAAUGAUCAGCUUCAGCAUUGGAAUGUUGAAAUGGAACAAUACAAAGCACUGUCAGAUGCUCUGCAGACUGACAGGUU